GGGUUCGGGAAGAUUUUCUCCCGGAGGACUUGGGUGGUCGGGCCGCCACUC
rnacentral:ncRNA from 12 species